rnacentral:rRNA from 1 species
UACAGGGGGUGCAAACGUUGCUCGGAAUUAUUGGGCGUAAAGAGCUCGUAGGCGGUUUGUCGCGUCUGCUGUGAAAACUCGGGGCUUAACCCCGGGCCUGCAGUGGGUACGGGCAGACUAGAGUGCGGUAGGGGAGACUGGAAUUCCUGGUGUAGCGGUGAAAUGCGCAGAUAUCAGGAGGAACACCGGUGGCGAAGGCGGGUCUCUGGGCCGUAACUGACGCUGAGGAGCGAAAGCGUGGGGAGCGAACAGG